GCCAGCCGCCGCGGUAACACCGGCAGCUCUAGUGGUAGCAAUUUUAUUGGGCCUAAAGCGUCCGUAGCCGGUUUAAUAAGUCUCUGGUGAAAUCCUGCAGCUUAACUGUGGGAAUUGCUGGAGAUACUAUUAGGCUUGAGACCGGGAGAGGUUAGAGGUACUCCCAGGGUAGAGGUGAAAUUCUGUAAUCCUGGGAGGACCGCCUGUUGCGAAGGCGUCUAACUGGAACGGUUCUGACGGUGAGGGACGAAAGUUAGGGGCGCGAACCGGAUUAGAUACCCGGGUAGUCCUAACUGUAAACGAUGCGGACUUGGUGUUGGGGUGGCUUUGAGCUGCUCCAGUGCCGAAGGGAAGCUGUUAAGUCCGCCGCCUGGGAAGUACGGUCGCAAGACUGAAACUUAAGGAAUUGGCGGGGGAGCACCACAACGCGUGGAGCCUGCCGGUUUAAUUGGAUUCAACGCCGGACAUCUCACCAGAGGCGACAGCUGUAUGAUAGCCAGGUUGAUGACUUUGCUUGACUAGCUGAGAAGUGGUGCAUGG
rnacentral:rRNA from 1 species